UUCUGGCUCAGGAUUAACGCUGGCGGCAUGCCUAAUACAUGCAAGUCGAAUGGUUAGCUUGCUAACCAUGGCAACGGGUGAGUAACACGUAGGUAACCUGUCUUCAAGACGAGGAUAACCAUUGGAAACGAUGGAUAAUACUGGAUAGGACAAAUCCCCGCAUGAGGAGAUGUUUAAAGGGGCAAUCCACUUGAUGAGGGGCCUGCGGUGCAUUAGUUAGUUGGUGAGGUAACGGCCCACCAAGACGAUGAUGCAUAGCCGGACUGAGAGGUUGAACGGCCACAAUGGAACUGAGAACGGUCCAUACUCCUACGGGAGGCAGCAGUAGGGAAUUUUCGGCAAUGGGCGGAAAGCCUGACCGAGCAAUGCCGCGUGAAUGAAGAAGUAUUUCGGUAUGUAAAGUUCUUUUAUUUGGGAAGAAAAAACAAAUUGACGGUACCAAAUGAAUAAGCUCCGGCUAACUACGUGCCAGCCGCCGC
rnacentral:rRNA from 1 species